rnacentral:rRNA from 1 species
GACGAACCGUCCAAACGUUAUUCGGAAUUACUGGGCUUAAAGCGUGUGUAGGUGGAUGGGUAAGUACCUUGUGAAAUCCCACGGCUCAACCGUGGAACUGCUUGGUAUACUGCCUGUCUUGAGGCACUCAGGGGCGAGCGGAACAAAUGGUGGAGCGGUGAAAUGCGUAGAUAUCGACCGGAACUCCGGUGGCGAAGGCGAGGCGCUGGACCCUUUCUGACGCUGAGGCGCGAAAGCCAGGGGAGCAAACGGG